rnacentral:rRNA from 1 species
ACGGGUGAGUAACGCGUGGGAAUCUACCCAUCCCUACGGAAUAACGCAUGGAAACGUGUGCUAAUACCGUAUACGCCCUACGGGGGAAAGAUUUAUCGGGGAUGGAUGAGCCCGCGUUGGAUUAGCUAGUUGGUGGGGUAAAGGCCUACCAAGGCGACGAUCCAUAGCUGGUCUGAGAGGAUGAUCAGCCACAUUGGGACUGAGACACGGCCCAAACUCCUACGGGAGGCAGCAGUGGGGAAUAUUGGACAAUGGGCGCAAGCCUGAUCCAGCCAUGCCGCGUGAGUGAUGAAGGUCUUAGGAUUGUAAAGCUCUUUCACCGAUGAAGAUAAUGACGGUAGUCGGAGAAGAAGCCCCGGCUAACUUCGUGCCAGCAGCCGCGGUAAUACGAAGGGGGCUAGCGUUGUUCGGAAUUACUGGGCGUAAAGCGCACGUAGGCGGAUAUUUAAGUCAGGGGUGAAAUCCCAGAGCUCAACUCUGGAACUGCCUUUGAUACUGGGUAUCUUGAGUAUGGAAGAGGUAAGUGGAAUUCCGAGUGUAGAGGUGAAAUUCGUAGA